rnacentral:tRNA from 1 species
AUUUUAAUAGUUUAAAUAAAACAUUAAAUUGCAAAUUUAAAAAUAUAAAAUUAUUUAAAAUU